rnacentral:rRNA from 1 species
CCCUUAGAUGUUCUGGGCCGCACGCGCGCUACACUGAUGCAUUCAACGAGUUCCUACCUUGGCCGAGAGGCCUGGGCAAUCUUUUGAACUUGCAUCGUGAUAGGGAUAGAUUAUUGCAAUUAUUAAUCUUGGACGAGGAAUUCCUAGUAAACGCAGAUCAUCAAUCUGCAUUGAUUACGUCCCUGCCCUUUGUACACACCGCCCGUCGCACCUACCGAUUGAAUGGUCCGGUGAAGCCUCGGGAUUGUGGUUAGUUUCCUUCAUUGGAAGUUAGCCGCGAGAACUUGUCUAAACCUUAUCAUUUAGAGGAAGGUGAAGUCGUAACA